rnacentral:sRNA from 1 species
UGACCGAUCUGUCCUCUAAGUAGGAACAC